UUCGUCCGCCUCGUGGACGCCCCUGACCUUAGGCCCCGGACGCCGGUUACCCUGACGACGUGCGCCCGCCCCGGGACGGUCCCCGACCGUGCCCGAGGUGACGCAAAGCCGACAGCCGUCGCAUCUCAGGGAGCCCCUACAUG
rnacentral:sRNA from 1 species